rnacentral:lncRNA from 1 species
UUCUGCAAAAACAAAAUAAGUUGAUAGGGUUCCGUAGUGUCAAAAAGUUUGAGAAACAUGGUUUUAAGGCAUUCUCUUUGUCCUCAAUGUGAAAAUUGUCCCAAAGAGAGAUGAACUAUAUACUGGUCAAUGGCACAGAACUAAAUGAAGCAAAGUCAGAUAACAAUACAUGAAUGUGUCAAGUGAUCCCUCAUCCUUCAAGUGUUUGAUCACUAAUGAUGUAAUGCACCCUAUAUCCAGCAUGAGUGCUAAUAUUGUCUUCAAAUUAUACUGCAUCAUCUGUCACACAAGCCAAUCUGAGAUACAUCUAGAACUUAAGCAAAGGACUCUGCUCAAAAAGCCAGCUAUAGUCUCUAACCUUCCAAGAUUAUAAAAGAAAACCUUCCAUUAUUAUUUUACAAUGCAAUAUAAACAGAAUCACCACUCCUACAUUCAGAGUUAAGUUAGAUGAACUACUUGAUUUAGCUGAUCAUCAUCAUGUUAUCAUCAUUGCACUAUAGGAGACCAAAUUCUCAUCUAAAUAUCAACUCAAAAUUAAGGGCUUUAAUAUCCUUUGCCAAGAUCAGCCAGGUGGUGAGAGUGGUGGUGGACUAUCUUCCUUAUUAAAAACCUAAAAUAUAACCAAUUCAAUUUCUUAAAAUUCAGCACAAAGAUCAGGAGAAAAAUAUAGAAAAUAUAGUAAAACAUUCUUUAUCGACUUAAAAUAAUUUUAUUGAAGUGCUUUGGAUUCUCUAGGUCCU